AAGAACUGUGCGAGUGGCAGUGUGUGUGAGUACUGCACCUACUAUUGUUACCUUACUUGUGUUCUUUCAUCAUCACAGAGUAGAGGCAAGAGAGAUCCGCUGGCCCGAGGUCUCGACGAAAGGGCGCCCCGGUCCAGCUUUCGAUUGACCAACGGGUCUCGAGGAACGGGCAGCGCUCGACCCGGUGCGCCGGCGUGGCUUUCUCGCCCCUCUGUUCAUCAACGAGUUCGCAGAGAGGGUCUUGGCCCCCGGCGUCCCAUUACAAAACAUUGCUAAAUCGCCGCAUUGCAGAAACCAGCCAGCGUAAGCUCGCGACCCUGUAAACCUCCAUGUAACUUGUUAUGUCUGCUGAUUGACAGGAAAGUGAGUGAGUCGUGAGAGCUGUGGAGAGGAAGAGAGCCAGCGUGAACACUGAGAUACUGAACUGUGGAGAGAAAGAGAGCCAUACCUACCUAGAAGCUGUAAUCAGCGCAGAGGUGAGCAAACGUCUUGAGAACGAUUCACUGUGUCCCUGUAUCCUAGCAGCCAUCUGUGGAGAGAAAGAGAGCCAACGUGAACACUGAGAUAUUGAGUUUGGAGAGAGCCAUACCUACCUAGAAGCUGUAACCAGCGCAGAGGUGAGCGAACGUCUUAAGAACGAUUCACUGUGUCCCUGUAUCCUAGCAGCCAUCUGUGGAGAGAAAGAGAGCCAAUGUGAACACUGAGAUAUUGAGCUGUGGAGAGAGCCAUACCUACCUAGAAGCUGUAAUCAGCGCGGAGGUGAGCGAACGUCUUGAGAACGAUUCACUGUGUCCCUGUAUCCCAGCAGCCGUCUGUGGAGAGAAAGAGAGAGCCAACGUGAACACCGAGAUAUUGAGCUAUGGAGAGAGCCUUACCUGCCUAGAAGCUGUAACCAGCGCAGAGCAGCCGUCUGUGGAGAGAAAGAGAGCCAACGUGAACACUGAGAUAUUGAGCUGUGGAGGAGAGCCUAGAGUGGCCGUUAUUUUAAGUUCCCCUUUCCCCUUCCCUAUUUAAUAUUUUUAAGUAAAUUAAAUAAAGUAUAUUUUAAUUUUAUGCUUACCUUGUGUGUCUGGUCAUUGGGGUGGCUUUGGGAAUCUCCUCGAGGUGGAGAAAGGGGCGUGACCUUAUUUACACCUGGGUCCACCCCUACCUGUGACAGAUUUGGCGUAGUCGGCAGUCCACCUCGGGUUGAGACCAAGGUCCCCCAAUGGCCUACCACGUUUUUUUAAAUAAAAUACCCUUUUAAAUUUGUAGCAGUCCCCAUAUUGACUCGUUCUCGGGACGAGAACGGAUUGGCGGGGGAGGAUGUCACAAGGUGACGAUCUUUUAAGGGCGGAACCAAAGUUUGGGAAGUUUUGGUUCCGCCCGGAAGUUUCCCCACCGGGCCGCAUAUGAAGAUGGACCUUGUUACUUCCUGGUUUCCAGGGCGACGCUGUUAGGGCUUCACGAGCCACAGGUGUGAGGCAUUGGUUAGGCAAAGUGUGAUUGGAGGCUGGAAGAAAAUGAAGCACUUAAAUAGCCCUGUUGGAACACAGAAAAGGAGGGGAGUCACACGAGCGCGAUGGACACGAGAGGCGAGUGACACGGGGGAGCUCCUUUGCCGAAGGCAAUAUAAAGACACGCACCUUCUGAAGAGCCCGAAGCUCUGUUGAUCCGGGGAUCGCUAAAGCGAGCGGAGAGAGGACAGAGCUAUAGGAGGUGAAAGGAAGGAAAGCGGUGGAUCUUUUGAAAGGAGCACCCCGAAAUCGCUGAUGUUAUCCACUGUUGUGUUGAUCGAUGGGAAUGAGGACAUCGAAGACCUUAUAGGUGAAGUACUAGACGGACACUGACAUUGGUUGAGAGAAACGGAAGGAGAGGAAAACUUACCGUUGUGAGUAUAUAUCUGUGGGAAAAGUGGUGUUGGUGGCUGGAAAGCGCCCUGUCUAGAUACCUGGAGUUACUAUUGGCAUGAAGACAACCUAGGACGAAGAAAGACAGAGAUCGUGAGUAACCAAAUCCCUUGAACGUGGUGGGCGAGCCGAAGGUUUUCGUGGGAAAGCAGCUACAGCAACGAUAGCAAACAAACGCUAGGCCAUCUACCAUCUCCCUAUUCUCGCCCAGAGCGACGUGGAAGAGGACGGGUGUCUAUUGUGUGCACUGAGCGUGGUGGGGUGAGUCUUUGGAAAUUUUCACUUGAAGUGGUGCUGUGUAAUGCCGUGUAUUACAGUGUGAGUGCUGUGUCCUGUUUGACGUAAUCCCGUUUCCAGUCACUCGUCCCGGGACGAUGAAGAGGAAAGAACGGCGCUAGGAAAAAACCUGUACAAUAUUGCUGUAGUGUGCUUUCAGUUCCACAGAAUUACAGAGUGGCGGCAAAGAACUGUGCGAGUGGCAGUGUGUGUGAGUACUGCACCUACUAUUGUUACCUUACUUGUGUUCUUUCAUCAUCACAGAGUAGAGGCAAGAGAGAUCCGCUGGCCCGAGGUCUCGACGAAAGGGCGCCCCGGUCCAGCUUUCGAUUGACCAACGGGUCUCGAGGAACGGGCAGCGCUCGACCCGGUGCGCCGGCGUGGCUUUCUCGCCCCUCUGUUCAUCAACGAGUUCGCAGAGAGGGUCUUGGCCCCCGGCGUCCCAUUACAAAACAUUGCUAAAUCGCCGCAUUGCAGAAACCAGCCAGCGUAAGCUCGCGACCCUGUAAACCUCCAUGUAACUUGUUAUGUCUGCUGAUUGACAGGAAAGUGAGUGAGUCGUGAGAGCUGUGGAGAGGAAGAGAGCCAGCGUGAACACUGAGAUACUGAACUGUGGAGAGAAAGAGAGCCAUACCUACCUAGAAGCUGUAAUCAGCGCAGAGGUGAGCAAACGUCUUGAGAACGAUUCACUGUGUCCCUGUAUCCUAGCAGCCAUCUGUGGAGAGAAAGAGAGCCAACGUGAACACUGAGAUAUUGAGUUUGGAGAGAGCCAUACCUACCUAGAAGCUGUAACCAGCGCAGAGGUGAGCGAACGUCUUAAGAACGAUUCACUGUGUCCCUGUAUCCUAGCAGCCAUCUGUGGAGAGAAAGAGAGCCAAUGUGAACACUGAGAUAUUGAGCUGUGGAGAGAGCCAUACCUACCUAGAAGCUGUAAUCAGCGCGGAGGUGAGCGAACGUCUUGAGAACGAUUCACUGUGUCCCUGUAUCCCAGCAGCCGUCUGUGGAGAGAAAGAGAGAGCCAACGUGAACACCGAGAUAUUGAGCUAUGGAGAGAGCCUUACCUGCCUAGAAGCUGUAACCAGCGCAGAGCAGCCGUCUGUGGAGAGAAAGAGAGCCAACGUGAACACUGAGAUAUUGAGCUGUGGAGGAGAGCCUAGAGUGGCCGUUAUUUUAAGUUCCCCUUUCCCCUUCCCUAUUUAAUAUUUUUAAGUAAAUUAAAUAAAGUAUAUUUUAAUUUUA